GUAGGUGGCAAGCGUUGUCCGGAAUUAUUGGGCGUAAAGCGCGCGCAGGCGGUUCUUUAAGUCUGAUGUGAAAGCCCACGGCUCAACCGUGGAGGGUCAUUGGAAACUGGAGAACUUGAGUACAGAAGAGGAAAGCGGAAUUCCACGCGUAGCGGUGAAAUGAGUAGAGAUGUGGAGGAACACCAGUGGCGAAGGCGGCUUUCUGGUCUGUAACUGACGCUGAGGCGCGAAAGCGUGGGGGAGCAAACAGGAUUAGAUACCCUGGUAGUCCACGCCGUAAACGAUGAGUGCUAAGUGUUAGGGGGUUUCCGCCCCUUAGUGCUGCAGCUAACGCAUUAAGCACUCCGCCUGGGAGUACGGCCGCAAGGCUG
rnacentral:rRNA from 1 species